GAUGAAGAACGUAGCGAAAUGCGAUAAGUAAUGUGAAUUGCAGAAUUCAGUGAAUCAUCGAAUCUUUGAACGCACAUUGCGCCCCUUGGUAUUCCGAGGGGCAUGCCUGUUCGAGCGUCAUUAUAACCCCUCAAGCUCAGCUUGGUGUUGGGGCCUGCCGCACGGGCAGCCCUUAAAAUCAGUGGCUGUGCCAUCUGGCUCUAAGCGUAGUAAUUCUUCUCGCUAUAGAGUCCCGGUGGAUGCUUGCCAUUAACCCCCAAUUUUCUAUGGUUGACCUCGGAUCAGGUAGGGAUACCCGCUGAACUUAAGCAUAUCAAUAAGCGGAGGA
rnacentral:misc_RNA from 1 species